AGGCGUUUAGCUUAUAAUAAAGCGUAUACUUUGAAAGUAUAAUAAAGAUACUUAUUUAAUGUCUU
rnacentral:tRNA from 1 species